rnacentral:rRNA from 1 species
GAACGAACGCUGGCGGCAUGCCUAACACAUGCACGUCGAACGAGACCUUCGGGUCUAGUGGCGCACGGGUGCGUAACGCGUGGGAACCUGCCCUUAGGUUCGGAAUAACUCCCCGAAAGGGGUGCUAAUACCGGAUAAUGUCUUCGGACCAAAGAUUUAUCGCCUUUGGAUGGGCCCGCGUUGGAUUAGCUAGUUGGUAGGGUAAAAGCCUACCAAGGCGACGAUCCAUAGCUGGUCUGAGAGGAUGAUCAGCCACACUGGGACUGAGACACGGCCCAGACUCCUACGGGAGGCAGCAGUGGGGAAUAUUGGACAAUGGGCGAAAGCCUGAUCCAGCAAUGCCGCGUGAGUGAUGAAGGCCUUAGGGUUGUAAAGCUCUUUUACCCGGGAUGAUAAUGACAGUACCGGGAGAAUAAGCUCCGGCCAACUCCGUG